CCGGUAGCUCAGUUGGUUAGAGCACACGCCUGAUAAGCGUGAGGUCGGUGGUUCGAAUCCACUCCGGC
rnacentral:tRNA from 1 species